rnacentral:tRNA from 1 species
GCCCGGAUGGCGGAAUUGGUAGACGCAGCGGAUUCAAAAUCCGCCGCCGCGAGGCAUGCCGGUUCGAGUCCGGCUCCGGGCACCA